UACGUAGGGUACAAGCGUUGUCCGGAAUUAUUGGGCGUAAAGAGCUCGUAGGCGGUUUGUCGCGUCUGCUGUGAAAACUCAGGGCUUAACUCUGAGCUUGCAGUGGGUACGGGCAGACUAGAGUGCGGUAGGGGAGACUGGAAUUCCUGGUGUAGCGGUGAAAUGCGCAGAUAUCAGGAGGAACACCGGUGGCGAAGGCGGGUCUCUGGGCCGUAACUGACGCUGAGGAGCGAAAGCAUGGGGAGCGAACAGG
rnacentral:rRNA from 1 species